UUUGGUUAAGUUAUUAAGGGCAUACGGUGGAUGCCUUGGUACGAGAAGUCGAUGAAGGACGCGAUUACCUGCGAUAAGCCUCGGAUAGGUGGAAAUAACCUAAUACCCGGGGAUUUCCUAAUGGGGCAACCCGUCAUGAGUAAUGUCAUGACAUCUUCACCUGAAUACAUAGGGUGUAUGAAGACAACCCGGGGAACUGAAACAUCUCAGUACCCGGAGGAAGAGAAAACAAUAGUGAUUUCCUUAGUAGCGGCGAGCGAAAAGGAAACAGUCUAAACCUUCUAACAUGUUAAAGGAAGCAACCGUUGUGUUAGAGGUGUUGUGGGAUAUAUUCUGGCUGAAUUGCUAAUAAGUCGGAGAGUAAAAAAUUAUACUAUUAACUAAAUGUUCUGGAAAGUUCAACCAUAGAAGGUGAUAGUCCUGUAAGUGAAAAUAGUAUAACUCUCUGGGAUGUAUUCCCAAGUAUCACGGAGUAAGUGGAAGUCUGUGAAAAUCCGGGAGAACCAUCUCCUAAGACUAAAUACUCUCUCGUAACCGAUAGUGAAUCAGUACCGUGAGGGAAAGGUGAAAAGAACUCCUAGUAGGAGAGUGAAAUAGUACCUGAAACCGUAUGCUUACAAACGGUUGGAGUCCCGAUUUAUCGGGAUGACAGCGUGCCUUCUGGAUAAUGAGCCAACGAGUUACUCGUGUGUGGCAAGGUUAAAGGCUUUAGGCCAGUAGCCAUAGCGAAAGCGAGUCCUAAAUGGGCGUUUUAGUUACAUGCGGUAGACGCGAAACCGAGUGAUCUACCCUUGUCCAGGAUGAAGUGAGGGUAAAACCUCAUGGAGGUCCGAACUAGUGUGGGUUGAAAACCGCUUGGAUGAGGUAAGGGUAGGAGCGAAAGACCAAUCAAACUCGGAAAUAGCUCGUAUUCCUCGAAAUAGCUUUAGGGCUAGCCUCGAGUAUAUAGUGUAACGGAGGUAGAGCACUGAUUGGGCUAGGGCUGUCACAACGGUACCAAACCCAGACAAACUCCGAAUUCCGUUUACAUGUUUCUCGGGAGUCAGGCAGUGGGGGAUAAGCUUCAUUGCCAAAAGGGAAACAACCCAGACCAACAACUAAGGUCCCUAAAUAGUAGUUAACAGAGAAAGGAUGUUCAAUUGCUCAGACAACUAGGAUGUUGGCUUAGAAGCAGCCAUUCAUUUAAAGAGUGCGUAAUAGCUCACUAGUCAAGCGAUCGAGCGUCGACAAUUUCCGGGACUUAAACUACUUACCGACGUUAUGGUCCCGCCUAUGGCGGGAGGUAGAGGAACAUUCUAUAUGCAUUGAAGGUGUGUUGCGAGACAUGCUGGAGUUUAUAGAAAAGCAAAUGUUGGCAUAAGUAACGAUAAGAUCGAUGAAAAAUCGAUCCACCGAAAAUCUAAGGUUUCCUGAGCAAUGUUAGUCAUCUCAGGGUUAGUCGAUUCCUAAGCCGAGGCUGAAAGGCGUAGGCGAUGGAAAACAGGUUAAUAUUCCUGUACCUGGUAAAUUUCGUUUGAACAUAAGGAGUGACGCAGGAGUGAAGGUUAGCCACCUGUUGGAUUAGGUGGUCUAAGCGUGUAGGUUUGAGAUGCAGGCAAAUCCGCAUCUCUUUAAGACCGAGACGUGAACGGGAUGGCUUUGCCAAUAAACUAACCGUAAUCAUACUGCCGAGAAAAACUUCGUAUGUAAGAAAUUUAUCAGAUCGUACCGUAAACCGACACAGGUAGAUGGGAAGAGUAUUCUUAGGUGCUCGAGUGAGCCGUGGUUAAGGAACUCGGCAAAUUAACCCCGUAACUUCGGGAAAAGGGGUGCCCCUAGUAAGUGAAAUCCUUGCGGAUGUAGCUGAAUGGGGCCGCAGUGAAAAGGCCCAAGCGACUGUUUAACAAAAACACAUGUCUCUGCGAAGUCAAUCAAGACGAUGUAUAGGGACUGACACCUGCCCGGUGCUGGAAGGUUAAGAGGAGAUGUCAUCGCAA
rnacentral:rRNA from 1 species